rnacentral:rRNA from 1 species
UACGUAGGGGGGCAAGCGUUGUCCGGAUUUAUUGGGCGUAAAGAGCGUGUAGGCGGCCAAGCAGGUCCGCUGUGAAAACUCGAGGCUCAACCUCGAGACGUCGGUGGAAACCGUUUGGCUAGAGUCCGGAAGAGGAGAGUGGAAUUCCCGGUGUAGCGGUGAAAUGCGUAGAUAUCUGGAGGAACACCGGUGGCGAAGGCGGCAUCCUGGACCGGUAUUGACGCUGAGGCGCGAAAGCUAGGGGAGCAAACGGG